rnacentral:rRNA from 1 species
UGCCAGCAGCCGCGGUAAUAUGGACGGGGCUUGCGUUGUUCGGAAUUACUGGGCGUAAAGCGCACGUAGGCGGACUAUUAAGUCAGGGGUGAAGUCCCAGGGCUCAACCCUGGAACUGCCUCUGAUACUGGCAAUCUAGAGUUCGAGAGAGGUGAGUGGAAUUCCGAGUGUAGAGGUGAAAUUCGUAGAUAUUCGGAGGAACACCAGUGGCGAAGGCGGCUCACUGGCUCGAUACUGACGCUGAGGUGCGAAGGCGUGGGGAGCGAACAGGGUUAGAUA